UACGGGGGGGAGCAAGCGUUGUUCGGAUUUACUGGGCGUAAAGGGCGCGUAGGCGGUCGUGACAAGUCACUUGUGAAAUCUCCGGGCUUAACCCCGGGCCUGCAGUGGGUACGGGCAGACUAGAGUGCGGUAGGGGAGACUGGAAUUCCUGGUGUAGCGGUGAAAUGCGCAGAUAUCAGGAGGAACACCGGUGGCGAAGGCGGGUCUCUGGGCCGUAACUGACGCUGAGGAGCGAAAGCGUGGGGAGCGAACAGGA
rnacentral:rRNA from 1 species